rnacentral:rRNA from 1 species
UACGUAGGGGGGCAAGCGUUGUCCGGAUUUAUUGGGCGUAAAGCGCGCGUAGGCGGCUUUGCAAGUCGGGUGUGAAAUCCCCAGGCUUAACCUGGGAACUGCAUUCGAGACUGCAUUGCUAGAGUAUGGGAGAGGGAAGUGGAAUUUCCGGUGUAGCGGUGAAAUGCGUAGAUAUCGGAAGGAACAUCAGUGGCGAAAGCGACUUCCUGGACCAAUACUGACGCUCAUGUGCGAAAGCGUGGGGAGCAAACAGG